UGGGGAAUCUUGCACAAUGGGGGCAACCCUGAUGCAGCGACGCCGCGUGAGUGAUGAAGCCCCUCGGGGUGUAAAGCUCUUUCGGCAGGGACGAUAAUGACGGUACCUGAAGAAGAAGCUGCGGCUAACUACGUGCCAGCAGCCGCGGUAAUACGUAGGCAGCGAGCGUUGUUCGGAGUUACUGGGCGUAAAGAGUGCGUAGGCGGUGUUCCAAGUCUGUUGUGAAAUCUCCCGGCUCAACUGGGAGGGUGCGGCGGAAACUGGGACGCUGGAGUACGGGAGAGGUAAGCGGAAUUCCUGGUGUAGCGGUGAAAUGCGUAGAUAUCAGGAGGAACACCUGCGGUGUAGACGGCUUACUGGACCGUAACUGACGCUGAGGCACGAAAGCGUGGGUAGCAAACA
rnacentral:rRNA from 1 species